CCUACGGGUGGCAGCAGUGGGGAAUAUUGGACAAUGGGGGGAACCCUGAUCCAGCGACGCCGCGUGAGUGAAGAAGUAUUUCGGUAUGUAAAGCUCUAUCAGCAGGGAAGAAAGAAAUGACGGUACCUGACUAAGAAGCCCCGGCUAACUACGUGCCAGCAGCCGCGGUAAUACGUAGGGGGCAAGCGUUAUCCGGAUUUACUGGGGGUAAAGGGAGCGUAGACGGCGAUGCAAGUCUGAAGUGAAAGGCGGGGGCCUAACCCCCGGACUGCUAUGGAAACUGUAUGGCUGGAGUGCAGGAGAGGUAAGUGGAAUUCCUAGUGUAGCGGUGAAAUGCGGAGAUAUUAGGAGGAACACCAGUGGCGAAGGCGGCUUACUGGACUGUAACUGACGUUGAGGCUCGAAAGCGUGGGGAGCAAACAGGAUUAGAUACCCUUGUAGUC
rnacentral:rRNA from 1 species